rnacentral:rRNA from 1 species
AGUGAACGCUGGCGGUAGGCCUAACAUAUGCAAGUCGAACGGCAGCACAGUAAGAGCUUGCUCUUACGGGUGGCGAGUGGCGGACGGGUGAGGAAUACAUCGGAAUCUACUUUUUCGUGGGGGAUAACGUAGGGAAACUUACGCUAAUACCGCAUACGACCUACGGGUGAAAGCAGGGGAUCUUCGGACCUUGCGCGAUUGAAUGAGCCGAUGUCGGAUUAGCUAGUUGGCGGGGUAAAGGCCCACCAAGGCGACGAUCCGUAGCUGGUCUGAGAGGAUGAUCAGCCACACUGGAACUGAGACACGGUCCAGACUCCUACGGGAGGCAGCAGUGGGGAAUAUUGGACAAUGGGCGCAAGCCUGAUCCAGCCAUACCGCGUGGGUGAAGAAGGCCUUCGGGUUGUAAAGCCCUUUUGUUGGGAAAGAAAAGCAGCAGGUUAAUACCCCGCUGUUCUGACGGUACCCAAAGAAUAAGCACCGGUUAACUUCGUG